UGGAUUCCCAAAGCACCGAUGCC
rnacentral:siRNA from 1 species